UACGUAGGGGGCGAGCGUUGUCCGGAGUUACUGGGCGUAAAGGGCACGCAGGCGGUGCGGCGCGUUUCGCGUGACAGCGGAGGGCUUAACUCUCCGAGGAUGCGAAAGACGGCGGCACUUGAGGGCCAGAGAGGGACACGGAAUUCCGGGUGGAGUGGUGAAAUGCGUAGAGAUCCGGAGGAACACCGAAGGCGAAGGCAGCAUCCUGGACCAAUACUGACACUGAAAAGCGAAAGCCAGGGGAGCAAACGGG
rnacentral:rRNA from 1 species